UACAGAGGUUGCGAGCGUUAAUCGGAAUUACUGGGCGUAAAGCGUGCGCAGGCGGUUCGUUGUGUCGGCGGUGAAAGCCCCGGGCUCAACCUGGGAAUGGCCGUUGAAACUGGCGAACUGGAGUGUGGCAGAGGGGGGUGGAAUUCCGCGUGUAGCAGUGAAAUGCGUAGAGAUGCGGAGGAACACCGAUGGCGAAGGCAGCCCCCUGGGCUGACACUGACGCUCAGGCACGAAAGCGUGGGGAGCAAACAGG
rnacentral:rRNA from 1 species